AGUGCUUGCACUUCUAUUCACUCAGCGGCGGACGGGUGAGUAACACGUAGGUAACCUGCCUGUAAGACUGGGAUAACUACCGGAAACGGUAGCUAAUACCGGAUAAUUUGUUUCCUCACCUGAGGAGACACUGAAAGGCGGAGCAAUCUGUCACUUAUAGAUGGGCCUGCGGCGCAUUAGCUAGUUGGUGAGGUAACGGCUCACCAAGGCGACGAUGCGUAGCCGACCUGAGAGGGUGAACGGCCACACUGGGACUGAGACACGGCCCAGACUCCUACGGGAGGCAGCAGUAGGGAAUCUUCCGCAAUGGACGAAAGUCUGACGGAGCAACGCCGCGUGAGUGAUGAAGGUUUUCGGAUCGUAAAGCUCUGUUGCCAGGGAAGAAGAUUUGGGAGAGUAACUGCUCUCAAAGUGACGGUACCUGAGAAGAAAGCCCCGGCUAACUACGUGCCAGCAGCCGCGGUAAUACGUAGGGGGCAAGCGUUGUCCGGAAUUAUUGGGCGUAAAGCGCGCGCA
rnacentral:rRNA from 1 species